UGCCCAGCAACUCCUAUCCCUACCUCCUCGCGGUACUGGCCGGGGUACGGAGCGUCUCACAACAGCGUAUG
rnacentral:ribozyme from 1 species